GGGGGUGUAGCUCAGUGGUAGAGCACUUGCCUAUCAUGUGCAAGGCCUGGCUUCUAUCCCCA
rnacentral:tRNA from 1 species